CAAAUAGUUCCUUCACAGCUUUCAAGUAGCAGCUUUCAGCACAAUCUACAGGCACCAAUAGCUCUUGCCCUGUGACUUCUUGUUUUGGAUAGUGUUGGCAGCAAAUGGCCUAAAUGUUCCUCUAACAAACCUUCCUCUUCAUUAAACCUGGGAUUCUGUAGUCUCAGGGGACAGGUUAUGAAACAUUGCUAAGAGGUCACCACUCACCACAGGAAGUGCAAUCAGCAGUCACCAGAAUCUUCUUCCAAGUAAGCAUGCAGAGGAAAUCAGGAAUGUAACCUUAGANUGUUUGAGGCCCUUGGAGCAGCAUAAUGGAAUGGACAUCAUGUCAAGAGGGAAAAGCCUGCAGGGCCUUAAAACUCCAGAGAAUUAUGCCUGGAUUACCCAGCAUCCCCUCUUGGAAGCUGGUCAAUUACUAUCUACAGUAUCUACCGUAUAUUUGUGACCUAAAUCCAACAGGUGUCAUUAUGAUCUGUUUCGUUUCAUUUUCAGGACAUGUGCCAUAGCAGUAAUUAUUAGGAGUGCAUGAUAAGAGGGUAAGGCAGUUGUUGCCUNCCCUAACUGCUGCGUUUGACUGUGCAUAUUUAAAAAUAACACAGGAAUAGAGAAUCCAAUCUUACCAUGGACAGCUUGCCGUAUGCUAUUAUCCAACACUAAUCUUUAUUCCCAAAGAGACUGCCCAGUACAUUUUAUAGUCUUCCACCAUCAUUGCAUUAGAAACAUUCUCUGUUUUCCUACCUAUUUAUUGAUAUGCAUGCUGAUUUAGGGUGCCUAUUUCUGCUCUAACGAAGUCAUGUUUAAAAUUGAGCAGCUGACCAUGGAGAGCAGAAAAUAAAUUAUCCAAAUCACUAUUUUUUACCA
rnacentral:lncRNA from 1 species